rnacentral:rRNA from 4 species
GACGAGGCACUACGGUGCUGAAGCAACAAAUGCCCUGCUUCCAGGAAAAGCCUCUAAGCAUCAGGUAACAUCAAAUCGUACCCCAAACCGACACAGGUGGUCAGGUAGAGAAUACCAAGGCGCUUGAGAGAACUCGGGUGAAGGAACUAGGCAAAAUGGUGCCGUAACUUCGGGAGAAGGCACGCUGACACGUAGGUGAAGUGAUUUACUCAUGGAGCUGAAGUCAGUCGAAGAUACCAGCUGGCUGCAACUGUUUAUUAAAAACACAGCACUGUGCAAACACGAAAGUGGACGUAUACGGUGUGACGCCUGCCCGGUGCCGGAAGGUUAAUUGAUGGGGUCAGCGCAAGCGAAGCUCCUGAUCGAAGCCCCGGUAAACGGCGGCCGUAACUAUAACGGUCCUAAGGUAGCGAAAUUCCUUGUCGGGUAAGUUCCGACCUGCACGAAUGGCGUAAUGAUGGCCAGGCUGUCUCCACCCGAGACUCAGUGAAAUUGAACUCGCUGUGAAGAUGCAGUGUACCCGCGGCAAGACGGAAAGACCCCGUGAACCUUUACUAUAGCUUGACACUGAACAUUGAGCCUUGAUGUGUAGGAUAGGUGGGAGGCUUUGAAGUGUGGACGCCAGUCUGCAUGGAGCCGACCUUGAAAUACCACCCUUUAAUGUUUGAUGUUCUAACGUGGACCCGUGAUCCGGGUUGCGGACAGUGUCUGGUGGGUAGUUUGACUGGGGCGGUCUCCUCCUAAAGAGUAACGGAGGAGCACGAAGGUUGGCUAAUCCUGGUCGGACAUCAGGAGGUUAGUGCAAUGGCAUAAGCCAGCUUGACUGCGAGCGUGACGGCGCGAGCAGGUGCGAAAGCAGGUCAUAGUGAUCCGGUGGUUCUGAAUGGAAGGGCCAUCGCUCAACGGAUAAAAGGUACUCCGGGGAUAACAGGCUGAUACCGCCCAAGAGUUCAUAUCGACGGCGGUGUUUGGCACCUCGAUGUCGGCUCAUCACAUCCUGGGGCUGAAGUAGGUCCCAAGGGUAUGGCUGUUCGCCAUUUAAAGUGGUACGCGAGCUGGGUUUAGAACGUCGUGAGACAGUUCGGUCCCUAUCUGCCGUGGGCGCUGGAGAACUGAGGGGGGCUGCUCCUAGUACGAGAGGACCGGAGUGGACGCAUCACUGGUGUUCGGGUUGUCAUGCCAAUGGCACUGCCCGGUAGCUAAAUGCGGAAGAGAUAAGUGCUGAAAGCAUCUAAGCACGAAACUUGCCCCGAGAUGAGUUCUCCCUGAGACUUAGAGUCUCCUGAAGGAACGUUGAAGACGACGACGUUGAUAGGCCGGGUGUGUAAGCGCAGCGAUGCGUUGAGCUAACCGGUACUAAUGAACCGUGAGGCUUAACCUUACAACGCCGAAG